rnacentral:rRNA from 1 species
UACAGAGGUCUCAAGCGUUGUUCGGAUUCAUUGGGCGUAAAGGGUGUGUAGGUGGCGCGCUAAGUCGGGUGUGAAAUUUCGGGGCUUAACUCCGAAACUGCAUUCGAUACUGGCGUGCUUGAGGACUGGAGAGGAGACUGGAAUUCAUGGUGUAGCAGUGAAAUGCGUAGAGAUCAUGAGGAAGACCAGUGGCGAAGGCGGGUCUCUGGACAGUUCCUGACACUGAGACACGAAGGCCAGGGGAGCAAACGGG